GCCUGGAUAGCUCAGUGGUUGAGCAUCUGCCUCCGGCUCAGGUCAUGAUCCCAGAGUCCUGGGAUCGAGUCCCACAUCAGGCU
rnacentral:tRNA from 1 species